AUUGAACGCUGGCGGCAGGCCUAACACAUGCAAGUCGAACGAGUGGCGGACGGGUGAGUAAUGUAUGGGAAACUGCCUGAUGGAGGGGGAUAACUACUGGAAACGGUAGCUAAUACCGCAUACCAUCGGAUGUGCCCAGGUGGGAUUAGCUAGUAGGUGGGGUAAAGGCUCACCUAGGCGACGCUCCCUAGCUGGUCUGAGAGGAUGACCAGCCACACUGUGACUGAGACACGGUCCAGACGCCUACGGGAGGCAGCAGUGGGGAAUAUUGCACAAUGGGCGCAAGCCUGAGGCAGCCAUGCCGCGUGUAUGAAGAAGGCCUUCGGGUUGUAAAGUACUUUCAUCGGGGAUGCGUUACCCACAGAAGAAGCACCGGCUAACUCCGUGCCAGCAGCCGCGGUAAUAC
rnacentral:rRNA from 1 species